GGCGCCAUUUUGGUGUGGCGCCGCCGCAGUUAACCCGGGGAGUGCCAGGGCCGCCGCUCUGCAGUGGCGCCUCAGCGCCUUCUUCUGCCCGGCUUCAAAGCGCGUUCUCGUACUGUAGAUGCUGCUAGGCACAGAGAAAGAUGCCUGUGUUAGCGCAGAGAUCCAGCGGGCCCUCUGCUGUUAUAAGAAAUGUGUGUCGUGCCCACGGUUUCACCCACUACAACGGGCUGGGAAACAGUGGUUCAAAACAGUUGCAAAUAACGUGUUUAAUCUACACUGCACAAAUAAAGACCUUGUUAGGAAAUGGAAAACGAGGUGAAUUAUUACCUCUAAAGCCAAGAGGGUUUCAAUGAACGAGACUGGCCACUUGAGGUUACAGCCCUGCGCUCCCAGAUGUAAAAAGCUGUCGUAAAAACAGGAUGCAGAACUAAGAGCUCCAGAAAGAGCUGAAAAAUUGCCCCAGCUGGAGUCCUGUAGCAGACCAUGCAAAGUUACAUGACAUUCUCAGAGAUACUCUGCUUCUCUCCUUCCAGCUGUGUAUAAAAGCUAUAUCCAUCGGUAAGAUGCAGUGCAUGAUAUUGAAGGACAACAGUCACAACCUUGUUAUCAGUCGUACCCAAAAGAAGUUGUUCGUAGCAUCAAACAUAAUCUAACAACCAGCUAUGUUAUUUCUCCUUCAGGCUCACUGAAAUGCUAUAUAACAAACUGCUGGCAGCAGUUGUGAUAGCACAGACAUUUUCUAUUCACAGGUUGACCCAAGAUAACCUUGCUUAGUUUACAAGAUCUUCCAGUCCUCUGCUUGAACUAGUUCAGCUGAAGGCAUGAUAAUAGUUUGACUGCAAUAUGAUUCAGCUAAGAAUUCGCUUGUAUUUUUGAUGCUUCAAAAGCACACUUAGCAGCUACCCUCAAGUUUUUACCCAUAGUCUUUCUUUACGUUUUUUUCUGUACUUUACAUUGAAUUUGUAACUCACCAUCGGUCAGAAUUUUAGUGCAUUCAUUUCUACAUUCAGUCGUGUAUUUCAACUAUAACAUAGUAUUUUGUCUUGGUGGCCACUUCCAGAAAGUCAACUCAACUGCAGCAAAAUCCAGUUUUUAGAUAUUUGAGUCCUUGAUCUAGCCAAGUCAGAGGGGAAAAGUUGUUUAGUGAAAAAAAUGUUAGUGGUGUUGAUAUAGGAAGUAGUGGCUCAUUAUGAUAUCUGCUGUUGGGAGUUAUCUGGGACCGUCAGCUGUUGAGAAGCUGUAUUUUGCUUUCCAUAGCUUAUCUGCUGUGAGACAUGCUACGGAAUGACUCUGCAGCAUGUUGGAAUCCAUUCUGCAGUUUCAUAACCAUUCACCAAUCUUCUUCCUGAAGCGGUUUCCUUAGAGCAAGACACAGUCCUAUGUUACCACAGCUGGAUUUCUGCUUUUUUUUGUCUCCAAGAGAUCAUUAGCAGGUGGGGGGAGGGGGAAAGAGGAGGUUUGGCUGAAAAUAAUGACUGUCUCCAAGGAGAAAAAGGAGUUUCAUUCAUACAACAACAAAAAUCAUUAGGAUAGUCAUGCAGUUAAGACACUCAAGGAAGUAAGAGUUACUUGAAUUUUAUUAGAAAUGUCAGCAGUGCUGAUCUUUGGGGCUUUAUGCAAGCUACUUAAUUUUCUGCCUUAAAUCUUCCAUAUGCUAGAGUAAUGUUUAUAUACCUAAAAUGUGUCUUAUACAUAAUCAUCACAGAGGGAUUUUUGCUAAUUUGAUGUCAGGAAAGUUCAUUCUGGCACAGUCAAGUAUAAAAACUUUUAUAGUGUGUCCA